CACUGACGAGUUUGAUCCUGGCUCAGGAUGAACGCUAGCGGCAGGCCUAACACAUGCAAGUCGAGGGGUAACAGGAGAGCUUGCUCUCGCUGACGACCGGCGCACGGGUGCGUAACGCGUAUACAAUUUACCUUAUACUGGAGGAUAGCCCGGAGAAAUCCGGAUUAAUACUCCAUAACAUUACAGAAUCGCAUGAUUCCAUAAUUAAAGUUUCGGCGGUAUAAGAUGAGUAUGCGUCCUAUUAGUUAGUUGGUAAGGUAACGGCUUACCAAGACAGCGAUAGGUAGGGGGCCUGAGAGGGUUAUCCCCCCACACUGGUACUGAGACACGGACCAGACUCCUACGGGAGGCAGCAGUGAGGAAUAUUGGACAAUGGAGGCAACUCUGACGCAGCCAUGCCGCGUGCAGGAAGAAGGCGCUACGCGUUGUAAACUGCUUUUAACCGGGAAGAAACCCUCCGACGUGUCGGAGGUUGACGGUACCGGAGGAAUAAGCACCGGCUAACUUCGUG
rnacentral:rRNA from 1 species